UAGGGAAUCUUCGGCAAUGGACGGAAGUCUGACCGAGCAACGCCGCGUGAGUGAAGAAGGUUUUCGGAUCGUAAAGCUCUGUUGUUAGAGAAGAACGUUGGUAGGAGUGGAAAAUCUACCAAGUGACGGUAACUAACCAGAAAGGGACGGCUAACUACGUGCCAGCAGCCGCGGUAAUACGUAGGUCCCGAGCGUUGUCCGGAUUUAUUGGGCGUAAAGCGAGCGCAGGCGGUUCUUUAAGUCUGAAGUUAAAGGCAGUGGCUUAACCAUUGUACGCUUUGGAAACUGGAGGACUUGAGUGCAGAAGGGGCGAGUGGAAUUCCAUGUGUAGCGGUGAAAUGCGUAGAUAUAUGGAGGAACACCGGUGGCGAAAGCGGCUCUCUGGUCUGUAACUGUCGCUGAGGCUCGAAAGCGUGGGGAGCAAACAGG
rnacentral:rRNA from 1 species